rnacentral:rRNA from 1 species
CAGCAGCCGCGGUAAAACGGAGGGUGCAAGCGUUAAUCGGAUUACUGGGCGUAAAGCGCACGCAGGCGGUUUGUUAAGUCAGAUGUGAAAUCCCCGAGCUUAACUUGGGAACUGCAUUUGAAACUGGCAAGCUAGAGUCUCGUAGAGGGGGGUAGAAUUCCAGGUGUAGCGGUGAAAUGCGUAGAGAUCUGGAGGAAUACCGGUGGCGAAGGCGGCCCCCUGGACGAAGACUGACGCUCAGGUACGAAAGCGUGGGGAGCAAACAGGAUUAGAUACCCGGGUAGUCCCUGUCUCUUAUACA